rnacentral:pre_miRNA from 3 species
UCUUGGGGAUAAGCAAAGCGAGUGGUUUCUUGAGAUGGACUCUACUCCUGGUGAAGAUAUUGUGAA